rnacentral:lncRNA from 1 species
UUCCCGCCCCCGACACCCGCCGCCACACAAAGGCGCUGCGUCCUGGCGGCCAGCGGGGGCUUAGUCUAGGCCCGGCAGGGUUUUCUGGAAGACCAGAGGGCCACCAGGUCACCGAGGUGGGAAGUGAAGAGAGGUUCGACGCUGCCUCAGGCCUGGGCCUGGCCGGUGGGAGACACAGCAAGGACUCUGGGAGCCUGCAGAGCAGAGGCCGCCGCGGGGCCGGGCCCCCGUCUCCUCCUCAGGUCCAAGACCAGAGGGUCUGCAGGGCCCCAGAGCAGCUGGCCGCGCUCCGCUUCCCACCGCGCUCUCUGCUGGAACUCAUGUGGUCUAGGGGUCAGAAAUCUGCAAUCAGUUUCGGUGGACCAAAAUGAAAAUGUCAAACAGGGUGUCUGACACCCUCCAGAAGCACCAGAGGAGAAGCAGCUUUCCUUGGCCUUCCCAGCCAAAUCUCCCUCUGCCUCUCUCCCCUGGUGACGACAAUGGCUGGGGUCUUGACUUGCCAAGAUCUGGAAACGGAGAAGGGACUGGAUCUCCAAACUUGGACUGCCUUGGACUGACCCUGGCCUGGAAGGUGUGGGCUCAGGACUCCGAGCUCAAGUCAGUCUGUUCCCCCAACCCCUAACCCACUGCAUCCGGGUGAGGAGUUGGGCCCGAGCGCCACAGCGCAGAUAGGGUUGUUAGGAGCGAAAGACUGGAGACCCAGGGACUGUGGGGCUGGGCUGGUGGGGCCACUGCUACCGACUAAGCAGUACGGGCCGCCUGGAAGACCGAAGGCGGAGUUCGCUGAUGCGGAAGCCAAGGCACAGGGCAAUAAGGAUCCGCGCCAUUUCUUGUGAUGUCACCUGAAGCCUUGGCGGGUAGCUGCCUCUCAUCCAUUCGGAGGACAGGGCUCCAGCCACCGGCAGCUCUGAAAGAGUUUGAAGAAUUUAUUGUUCACAGAUGGUAUUUAAAUGGACUUAUUUCUAAAAGUCACAUUCCUUUAUUACUUAUUUGUUAUUAGAAGUACCCAUUUUCAUAUGUGUUUAAAACUAUUUGUGUCUCAAAUUCUCAGGAGAUUGAUGCAUCCCAGUUUACUCUUUUUGGCAUAUGUUUUUACUCAUAAAUUAGGUUAAAUUUCAUACUUGUUUUAUAAAAUUUAGUUAUUUGGUUACAUUAAAAUAUUUGUAUCCAGAUAAGAAGUCUCUUCCUUCUCCUAUGCUUUUUUUGGAAUUUAGAGCAUAUCUGAAAUAAAAUUAAUUUACUUUUUAUUACUAA